CACCAAGAAGCUAUAUUAGCAUUAACCUUUUAAGUUAAAGACUGAGAGCGUCAAACUCUCCUUGGUGG
rnacentral:tRNA from 1 species